UAGAAAGAGCGCCGGCGAUGAGAGGAAAUGGAAAAGGCAAGAGAUGCGAGCUGGGGAUGCAUUACCAAGAUAGACGCUUCGAUGUCGCGAGAGAAUCUUUCUUACACGGCUUUUAUGCGCGAGAGGAAACAAGAAUAUUCGAGAAAUUUUCAUACCAGUUAUUCGACGUCCGAAUAAGCGUAGUGCAAUUUUAGAAAAGUGAUAAGAACAAACGAAUUUCGAAAAAUGAGGGAAAAUUUCAAAAAAUUGCGGAGAGAAAGAUAAUAAUUCGAAAACGUUGGCGGACAACGGAAGAUAGAAAUUUUUGAAGCAGAGUGUAGAGCAGCUAGCGAGAAGAGAAAAAUAUGAAAGACAGGGAAAAAUGGAAAAAGCGCUAGUGCGGCGGCGGAGAAGAUUGGUUUGGAUAUUAAAGGACGUGCCCUCUGCGCCGGUGGAAUAAAAAUGUACGGGAGAAUAGCGGCGGUGUAGGAGCCAUCCACGUGGCCGAGCGUGUGCAACUUCGUCCGUACGCUGGCUUUAUUUGCUUCGAGAAAUUUUUUUUCUGCCCUUCUGUACUUGGAAAAAAAUAUUUAUGGUAAUUGAAAGAGAUAUCGAAUGGAUGCGUUGCGCAACUGCAUUUUUGCAAUCGUUAACGAUGUUAUAUUCCUUUUAAAAUAGUUAGGAUAAUUACCCCGCGGCGGUAUCUUUACUGCACGACAAAAGAUAGUAAUCUGAAAAUAUUUGCAGUUCUUUACGCUUUUAAGUACGCGGCUCCCGGCGAAAUUUAUGCGUCUGCUUUUACAUAUCUUUAUUGACUUUUUAAGGCUCUCGAGGUGGAUUGUAAAAAAAUUAAGCGAGCGCAACAAUAAACUUUUAGACAAUAUUGUUCCGGUAAAAGCAUCAUCAAUUCUGGAAAAAUAACACUUUUAUUUUUGACGCCUCGCACGGGAACAGCAAUAAAACUCGUGUACGAAUGGAUUUAUGAAACGCCGUUAACAAAAAUAAAAAUCACAAACUCUCGACCGAAUAAUUUUCCUUGCGAAAUACGAGCGAUGCCUCGUUUCAAAAACAUCCCUAGGCGUUGUCCGAUAGCAAGCGAUUAAAUAAUCAAGAAAUUGGCAAUAAAAGCUCGACUCGAGCGGCAGCGCGCUCUGAGCAUACUCGCGCACGAUUUUGAUGCUCGUCGUAUUGCAGUAGUUACUGCCGUAAAUCCCGGCUUCUUCGACUCGUAAUUUCCGCGAUGCACGUAAAUCGUAAAUAAUCGCAUAAUCCAAAAAGGGGUAACUCGAUACACCCGGGAUCGAACCGGCCUUAUCCCUUCUUCGGAUCGAGCCUCCCCAAGGCAAUAAGGAAGAUAGCGGAUAUAACGUUAAAAUGGAGGUCGACUGCGAUACGAGCUGGUAGCUGUGUAGAAAAUUUCGUGGACAUUUUCCCGCCGCAGUGUACGACCCGGCGUAAUAGCAGAGCUGAAACAUGUAAGCGUUGCUCCGGUAUUCGGAGCAUUUUUUUCUCGAAUUGCCUUUGGAUCUGACGAUAUUCUCGAAGCGAUGCAGCUCUCGUUACGCUUUUAAUUAUCCGCCGCUCGAGUCUCGAGAAUCUCUCUCGCUCCCCGCCGCUGAUUUUUAUUCGGCCAUUCUAAGGGCAAUAACUUCGGCCUCCGACUUGAUUAAGUUACUUUUUACUGCGCAGCUCGACCGAGAGGGAAGCCACUACUCGCCUCCUGGUUUUACGCGAAUCUACUCUAAUUUUUCUCCGUUCCAUUAUGUCACUCUGUAUUAUUCAUUAAAUAAUACCUCUUAACGGGGCGUUCGCCCACCGACGCCUCUCGUGUCUCGUCGCAGUCGCGGCGCUACCGUUGUUGUUAUUACGAGUUAUAAAAAUAUUACGACUGCUCGCGCGACGCCGUGGAAUCCCGCGGGCGUUUAAUUAUAAAGUAAGAUUUUCGCUAAUUUUUUGUUUGCCUUCGCGAAACCAUAAAAGUUACUUAUAUGUUAAUAACUCAUUCUGACGGCUAGUGUGUGUGCGCGCGAGCAUUUUGUAACGCUAUAAAUUCUUUUUAGUACUGAUAAAAGAGUUAGUAAAGGAUUUUAAUGCCACGGCGCGCGGUGGGCACGCGCGCGAGCGCUAUUUCAUACUAAGUUUCGUACUCGUUUUACUAAUUUUACAGCUGUUCUGGGCGCGCUGUAAAAAUAGCGCGUCUGGGAAGCCGACAUAAUACGCAUUUGUAUAAUGAGACCGGCCAAUAAAAAAGUCUGAUAUCGUAAAUUAUUUUUAUGCUCUUUAUCUCGGCGCUAAAGCGAACAAGACGUCAUCCUCUCUCUCUCUCUCUCUCUCUCUCUCUCUCUCUCUCUCUCUCUCUCUCUCUUUCUCUCUCUCUCUCUCUCAAGACAGAAAGAAGGACAUUCGAAGCGACAACCUCGUUUCAAUUUGCGAAUAGCGACGGCGGAAUUGCAUCCAUCCAUGCAACGCCCACUCACACUCAUACAGGGCCGUGAUGUGUCCUUGCAAAAUUCACUCGUUGCAGGAGAAAAAUACAUGCCUUGGCGAAACGGCAAAUUGGCUCCCUGCUCGAAAUGAAAGGCUGCGCGCAUCUCUGGAAACUGAAAGAGCGAGCGAGAGAUAGAAACAACAGAGGAGAAAGAAAUUGAAGUCGCGCGAUUCCAGCCUCUCUGCGCGCUUACCAGCUCUCGGGAAAUGCGGGAAGGAAAGCCCGGCAAUAUCGCACACUCGUCGUUCGCACCUCGGUCUCUUUGUUGCAAUCCGCCGAGGGCUUUUUUUUGCCGCCUGUUAUACGUAUAGCUGGGCCAUAUCUGCCGCACGCCGUCCGACGGAAAGAGUCGAGCCGUCGCUCUGCGCUGUUGCUGGCUGUUCGUGAGCUUCUGAAAGCGAGCCUCCGCGCGAACACAGAGACAGAGAAACGCCAGCUCCCUCUGUGUUCAGCCAGUCCCCCACCUCGGCUGCGAUUUUCCAUCUCUCUCUGUCUCUCGCGCUGUACACGUACGCGUCUUUUCAUUCGAAUUUCCUCUCCUCUUCUAUAUCUCGCGGUGUAUUGUAGGCGCGCAUAGCGGAGUUUAGCAUCGAGCGCACUAUGCAGCGUCUCUCUCUCUCUCUCUCUCUCUCUCUCUCUCUCUCUCUCUCUCUCUCUCUCUCUCUCUCCGGCGUUUUCCCUCGGUCUCUAUCUCCAUCUGCGUCUACACGAUGCUCCCUUCUCCCCUCCCCUUGAGACUCCUCCACACGCCGGGAGAAUACAUAUUUUACGGGCAUUCAUGAUGGCCGCUGCCGCAGCCGCGCAUCUGUGCGAACCUGUUCUGGCUCCGUCUCUGUCACGCCAACGUAAGCCUGUGCAAGGCGGUCUCUCGUCCCCUUUCUCCGGGAGAGAGAGAGAGAGAGAGAGAGAGAGAGAGAGGAGCUCUUGGGCCGGACAUCGACGAGCCGUCGGACCCAUUAUACGCUCGAGAGCCGGGAGUGCACACAGGCCGAUCCUGAUGAUGAUGAUGAUGACGAUCCGGACGGCUUUGUUCGACGAGCUGGCUGAGCGCGGAAAUUGCUCCUUAAUCUACUUUUCUUUUUAAACAAUCGGCAGACGUUAUUGGUCGAUGAUCGGCCUUCAUAUUCGGCCGUUUAUUACGGCUUUUGAAGCGGCUAGCUGCUACCGCUCUGCUCUGGAUUGCGGACUUUUAUGACGGGCUCUUUGUGUAUUCCGGACACUGACGCCCGGCUAUAUUCAGGUUAUUAGGGUUCAUUGAGAUACGCGCGAUCCUCAUGGGCAGAUCAUUAUUUUAAUGAGCUGCUAUCGAUGGCUUUGUUGGAGCGAAAUACUUUACGAUGAAAACAAGAAAAACUCGAAUUUUUAAUUCUAAUCUACUCACCGAUACUGUAGCCUCGAUUUUACGACUCGUGCGAAUUCAUAACGCACGCUUGAACGACCGGAAAAAAAUUAACUAUCUUUUUACCAUCGGCGUAAACUAUUAACGGCAAAUGAAAAUAACGCCGCGCGCGAAUGUUAAAUCCUCACCUAUUCACGCAAUAACAUGAUAAUCGUAAAUAAUUAACAGCCCCGAUAAAACUCUCUCGUCAAUUUCGCUUUUACGACAGUCAAUCACACCCAGCAUACGAAAUGUAGUACACGAGACGGCGGACCUUUUAAUCGCGCUCUAUCGACUCAUAUACAGCGGCAUCCCCCCUCCUCGCACAGCCGUAUACGCAUCGACUCGUAGAAAAGCCAGAGAAAGAGAGAAAAAAACGUGACGGAGAUCUUCAUCACUCACGACGCAUAAAGGUGGAGGCAGUAGGUAAAAAAAGAGAGAAACGAGACAGACGGUAUCGCGGCUCGGUAAUGCGACCGAAAUGACUGACGUAAUUGCGUAAUAAGCCCUUUCUCCCUACUGCAUGUAAGUAUUAUACGAAAAAAAAUCGACGUACACGCGCGGCGAUAAUGAGAGCGUAUGCUUCGCUUAUAAUUUUCGAGGACCGCGAACUGCACUUCUCGGACACAAAACGCACCUUCACCUCUCGCCUCGUGUUUGUUAAUUUCGCUCCGGCGUUUUUUUCCUCCGGAGAAACAUUAGCUCGGGGAACGUCAAUUACGAUCAUUAUUGUCGUUGUUAAAACUAUCUUUAUCGUUAUUAUCAUUAUACACGCGGACUCUCGUCUAUACAUGUCCGACGUGUUAUUACGGGCAGAAAAGAGAAGACAAAGAGAGAGAGAGGGGGGGAGAAAAAUGCGCGAGAGAGAGUUAAAUCAUUGGAAGAGCCGAGAGCUGUAUGGUGUACAGCGCGCGGCGAAGCGUGCGAAAAUACCGCGGUGAUUAUGACUACAUCGACUCGGGCUUUUCCACGUGCAAAGCAUGCGGGUCUUGCAUCGCAAAUAUGGGCCUCUGUGUAAUCGUUCAUAAAUCGCGGACGCGUAUGAGAGAGGAAGAGCGAAUCUUUCGGCUGUAAAAUUUUCAAAAUCACCAAUACAGCUGAGUUAUGUCGGUAAACUUUGCCGUUCCGCGUGUGUGAAUAAAUAUUUCAUCAUAAAGGAAUCAUUGAUGUGUCUAUCGCAGGGGUAGUAUAAAUUUAUUUACGAUAUCCCUGAUACUACAGCGCGUAACUCGUUCUCUGCGUGUUGAAAAAAUUCAUAAAAUUUCACGACUUUUCGCGUAGUUAGCUUAUCGUAAAAAAAUGCUAGCAUAAAAUAAUAUAAACCAAUAACUGCGCGCUUUACAACGGCUCGUCGGUCGAAAAAUUCGGAAACGCGGCGCUGUUUGAGGAGAAAGUGUCAUUUGGCACUUCUCGUAAAAAAAAUAAACUUUUUUUUCUUCUUUCGCUCGCUGCAGUCGCUACAAGUGCGGACCUUUCGGGUCAUAAAACGAUUACUCCUAAGCCUCUUGGUCGGGAAAAAUUAAAUUUCGGUUUUACGAUGUGCCAUAGAAAACAAAUUUAGGAAAGAGUCGACUCGAAGGGUGCACCACGGUCAAAACAGUCGUCGGCAGGUAAUCACUUGUUAACCCUCAGAAAAACGGAAAAAAGUACCUUUCGUUCUCAAAGAAUUUCGUACCUGAGAGAAUUUACUUUUUAUAGUGGCCUUCUAAGUCGCCGCGGUACCUGUGCUCGCGCAAUAAAAUUCAACGAAGCGAGUCGAAUUUUAUUAUAAAAAAUUACGUUUCGCAAAAAGUACAAUCUUUGUUGUUUGAUAAAUUGGCUUGUACGAAAAAUUGAGUAAAAUGUAGGUUCGAUAAUUUACACACGCAUAAAAUGAUACAGAAAUUUUUCUUAUCGUAUACUUUUUUAAAUUAACAACUUUUAGACUUGUACCACUGCCUUUUUACUCUUUCGUCAGAGACGCAAAGAUAAUAAUUUAUUGAGUAACAAAAAUGUUGUAAAAUUCGUAUAAACGUCCGCCUUUCAAUUUAUGCCGCGCUAUCAAGUUUUUACACAAAUAGGAAUCAUCUACAUUUCAUAGUCAAAUCACGACUAAAUUGUCGUAAAAAUUUAAAAAAAGAGAGUAAACCACGAUUCCCAACACGUCUCAAAAUACUUAUCGCUUAUAAUUGCGUAAAACAGAAUUUCAAGCAAGCUCGAAUUCGACCGAAAACCCUUCGGCAAAAGCCUAGUAGCGAUUCGAGCGAGUAGUAGCUAAAAAGCGUCGCUCUCCGGCACGUAUCUGGAUUUUCUUUCAUUUCCGUUCGCUUUUCAGAUAUGAUCGGCAGCGUUGUGGAGCCGAGCGAACGUGCACACGACGCUCAAUUCCAGUGUACAGUCGAGAGAGAAAGACGAGGUUAGAGAGCUGUGAGAUUAGCAAGGGCCGCGUUGUUGAAAAGAGACGGAAGACUGUGUGUAUGUGUGCGUGUGUGUGGUGUAUGGGGAGGGCAGAAAGAGAGAGCGAAUCAUCCCCCUCGAGGAAAAGAACUCCCCUUUAGUAGACUCCGGUUGACCGCAAAGUUCAUUGUGUGAGGAGUUUCGUGUCGCGAGGAGAGAGGGAGAGAGAGAAAGAGAGAGAGAGAGAGAGAGAGAGGGAGAGAGCCGAGUACGUGCUUGGGACGACGCCUUGCAGAUGGCAGUAGCGAGCAAGGCUGUUCGAUGCUGCCUUUCUCGCUCCGCGAGUUCAAUCCCACAGUUUGACCAUUUCUAUUGCUCCGCCGAUGUGGACGUUGAAUUAUACAGUUUUGAAAAUAUUUCACCUCGUUGGUAAAUGGUUCAAGGACGAAAUGGAAAAUUUCGCGCGUAACAUCGACGUUUCGUUUUUUCUAAUGCGCCCGAGUAUAAAUUUGACUUUUAUUAACCGCACUACAGUUUUAAAAUUUCAACAACGGGCGCCGUAAUAUUUUCAUCUGUUUAUUUUGCGAUUCUAAAAUUGUCCCCAAUCCCACUCGACCCACGCUCCUUCUCUCCGUCAUUCUAUUUCUCGCAUUCUCGCCGAGGCGAUGCGCGCGAAUUGCGCAUCGAGUAUCUACGAAAACGAAAGAGAAGGUCGUCGCCGCGCUGCCUCGAUCAAAAUUCCGAUACCGUAUGUACUUUAUAUACACAACGCGCGGCAAAUACGACGCUUCUCCCUCUCUCCCUCUCCUUCUCCCUCCAAGUCGUCAAUUAUCUCCUGCGCGUUUCACGCGAAGUCUUAUUACACUCGUCGAGAACGAGCCCAUUCCUCAAACACACAUCAGCCCAAUUGCGCGCGUAACUCUAAGCGAGCCGAUUCUUAUCAGUUCCGUUUAUGCCCAGCCGCGCCGCCAAAUAAAUAAAGCGAUAAGGCACCCGCGGCUCCAUUUGAAGGCUGAUAUAUCCAGGCUACACGGCACAUUAUACGAAGUCAACGAGUGCGUGAGCGAGUACGCAAUUGCACGUAACCAACGCGGCGGAUAGAAAUCGGGAGCAUCAAUCAGCGCUGAUUGCCUCGAUUAAAGGACAAUUAAGGGAAAACGCGCGGUGACACGUGAGUUUGCAUAUUAUUCGGUUUGUGCCAGAACACGAGCCAGGAAUUGACUUAUGAAUUGGAUCGGGGAGAUUUCGCGGGAGAAAAAUUGCGCGAUUUUCGGCCGACGAGAUAUUGUCGCGCUAAUUAAUACCUUAUUCAAGCUCGUUGAUUUUUCGCUAGCUCGAAUUUUUUCCUCGCUUCGGCGAGCGCGUAUACGUUGCCGCGCAGCAGUGAUCGUUGCCGGCUUGGGCUUUUUAAUUCUUUUACGAACUGAAAAAUAUAACUAAAACACGUAUUUUUAGCGGAUAUGCGCGGCAUAUACUGGUUUUGCAAGUUUAAUAAUUUCACAGUCUGUUGAACAAUAAAAAAGAAAUCGAAAGUUGAUUUUAAAAAUUCUUCCAUUUUUUAUACAAAAAAGUAGUCUGCACAGGAUUAGUUUCUGCAUGAAAGAAGCUCGAUAUUGAAAUAUUCUCCUAUAUGCCGCGCCAUUAUUCCGAUUUGAAACAUGAAUAUUAAAAGCUGUUUUACGAGCUAUUACUCUGCCCAGAGCCAUUAUAUUAACUGCCACUUCCGAUAACGAUAAUUGCUCCAGAUAACUGUAUAAAUUGCUUUUAACCUUGCAACGAAUCGAGCCGCGCGUACAUCAUCGAUUGAGAGUUCCAUUAAAUAUUACACAUACGACUGAAAUUCACAUGAAUCCUAUCCUAGUAAACACGAAAAAAUUACGCUACCGCUGGAGAAGAAAAAUUUCAAUUUGACCGAAUCGAUGCAUGCUUCCCUCCAGACUUUUAAGAGGUGUGAUUCAUAAGACGCUGCUUCAAAAGGUUAAGGUCGUAACUCGUAAUCUUACCUGAAAUAGCGGCAAACAGCCGGGCCGAGUGUAUACGCUCCUGCGCGAGGGAGCGAGCGAAAGAAGCAAAGGAAAAGAAAUGGGCGACAAGGACAGCGAGAAAACAGGGUGGAAAGUGCGAUAUAUCUAUAUAUCUCUCGCUCCCUCCUUCUCGCGCAGCGGCGGCAGGGGAAUCGCGCAAUAAAAGCAGCGAACCGAGCGACCGAGAAGUUUCUGGGUGGAAGCGCCUGAUGGCGCCAGUCUACGCCCGGGCGUGCACUUCGCUCACAUACACACACACACACACACACACACACAUACACGUAGCAUCCGCCCUGGUUUCUCACACUCGGAAGCGGCGACGUACACACGUACACCGACACGUAUUCUCGUAAAAGCUUACAUCGCAGACUGCUGAAACAAUACUGUUAAACAUGUUAAAAUCACUCGUUCGAGAAUAUAUUACGUCCUCUGCGUGUUUAUUUCCCUCCUCUCUUCAACUCUGUCUUCGACGCCUGCAGCCGGAAGUGCGAGGAGAAUUUUUUUUUCGGGUGAAGUUUCGGCUUCUUUUCUUUCAGUGCGCGCGAGGGAUGUCCGGUUUUUUUCUGUAAGGGAAAUUCUGUGGAAAUCGGCUGGCCAGCUGGUAGCCCUAUAAAUCACGGGUUGUAGAAUUCCCGCCUGCGCGAGGAGAAUGGCUGCGGGAAUAAUAAAUAUCAUUGCUUUGGAGAAGUUUGCUCCGAGAGUAAAUUACGGCUGCGUGAAUUCGAUUAAACAAAUGAAUGAUCGAAUGAAUUUCCAGCUGAAUUUGAAAAAUAACGAUUCGAUAAAUAGCAACUACAUUCUUUUCCACUCCGACUAUCCUUCCGCCAAGUAGUAAAAAAGCUCGACUAACGAAGAUCAAAAAGGCGCGGCUGCGAUAAAUCGCAUCUCGCGCAGCCUCCAUCCACGGCGAAUAUUAUACGUCCCCCGUUAUUAUAUUUCCAACAUAUUUUACGCAUCCACCCUCCGUAUCUCGGCAAUAUAUAUAUAUACAGGCUCGCUCGCGCGCGCGCAGAUAAUCCACGUAUACGUGCACGCGCAUGCAAACUGGUGUAUUCAUUAGACUUUUCUCAUCUUGCCAGCUCCUCUGCUUCUAUCUCUGUCUCUCUCACUCCCUCUCUCUCUCUCUCUCUCUCUCUCUCUCUCUCUCAUUCUCCCGGCAGCUCCGCGGCGCAGGAAACCGAGGCGAGAGCGUCAGCGUAUAUUCCUCGAGCCCCCCUCCGCGAUCCCAUCAGCCCCGAACGGAGAGGAGCGCAGAUCGAGGGGUAGGCAGCCCCCGGAGCGCGGCUCGGAAAAUUCGUCCUGUCCGAGCGGUGGGGGCAGUGGCAAAGGGGCGAGAGAGGGGUGCGACCCUGCGCCUUAUCAAGUCGACGCGUCUGCGGCCAGCCCCCUCUCCCCGUCCGGCAUCGGCGCUGCGCUUGCUCCGUUUCCACCCCGAAAACUGGCGCACAUCUCUCCCUCCGUAGCAGCAGCAGCAGCAGCAGCCCCCUCCGCAUCAUUUAGUACCACCGGCGCGCACACACACACGCAUCCGCUCGCUCUUCUCGCAGUACAUCGACGCUCGGACGGACACACAGUCGGCUCGAGCUCGUGGCCAAGCUCGCACACACGCGAAGCAGCAGCAGCAGCAGCAGCAGCAGAAGCAGUAGUCGCGGUGACGGUGCGGCCGGACAGGGGAGACACGACGGCCUCCAACGGAUGCGCGCGCGCGCCCGCGAUCGGCAGCAGCAGCAGCGCAGACAACAGCUCACACAGUCAGAUGCCGGCCGUGCGCGCAACCACGAACACACACUCGCUCUCUCUCUCUCUCUCUCUCUCACUCUCCAGCACGCUCUUCGCUCCUCUGGAUCGCGCACGCACACGUACACGCACGCAGACACUCACGCACACAUCAUCAUCCGCUCCGCGGGCGCAGCUUUUCCCCGCAGUCGUCGUCCUCGUUGUUUAGUCAGGUGCCUGCCGUCGAGCCAGUCGGAGCCCCCGCGAGCCGAAGCACACCCUGCUCUGCCACUGGAGAGAGAUGUCCGCGUCCGAGCACACUCAAUAGAUGGAGAAGCAGCCACCAUGACGCAGUUUGCUGGAAGCACAAGACAGAAAGCAGACACACGCGCGAGCGACAGCCGAGAGCAAAACACUCACUGAGAAGCGGCAGACAAGAGGCUACGCCGAAGAGAAAAAUACUGCACACAUGCAUACUUACAGAGCGACUCGAAUUCGUCCGCCGCACGGUGACGGUUGAGGUCUUCCUUCGACUUGGUUUUAUUUUUUUUCUCCCUCUCAUCCAAAAAUAGCGAUAUUGGCCUACUGCACGCAGUGCCGGACGACCUUCGAGACAAGACAACGUGCGUAUGCAUGUAUAUGGAUGGGGCCAGCUCUCACUCUCACGACGAGGAAUGUGAAACCCCCUGUACGUAUACUGAAUGUAUCCUGAGUGUAUUUCUGUCCGGUAUACCUUCAGUAUACGUAACAGGAGGCUACACCGCUCAACGAUGGACCACUCCUGGGAUGAUCCGCUUUUUUCUUCUCCUCGACACCAGGGAUUUUCCGCCGCUGUAUGGACGUACUUUCGAAGAGCCGUUGGCGCACUUACCUUGAUAUGUAACUCUGUUGUUGUAAAUUAUCGUUUACUGCCUUGAAUCCGAGAUGCGGAUAAAUAUUCAUAUGUAUAAAAUUUAUGGACACAAAGUUAUAUGCGAUACUGAAAUGUUAACAUCAACGUGCGCCAUUUAUGUAUUUAUGUAUAUUAUCGAAUGCGUUAAGGACAUUAAUGCCAGAUGAAUAAUUGAAAUGAACCCAUGUAGUAGUUGUCGACAUUUUCCGAUUAUGACACUGUAUCGACUGUUCUGUUUAAUACUAUGAAUUCAUGUAUAUACGAUUGCAGGAAUGUACUUGCGCAAUAACGCAUCAACGAUAGAAAAAUCUUACACAUCGAUGUUUAACAAUAAAAUACGCGAAAAACUCGCAAUAUCUGUAAACCCGCGAAUCCGAGUUUCAUUCAUACCGACGAUUUUCUCAGAGAAAUAAAACUUUUACGCUCGUGCAGUAUCGAUGUAGCAUACAACUGCGAAUCAUGAAUCAUGUACGGCCAGUUAAAGGAAAUAAACAGAUUAUACUCUUUAAA